CAUACCACGUGAUCUGCGGCGCACCAAUCAGAAUACAGCUGUGUACGCGACCAUGAUGGAUAACCGGCACGCAUGCAACAUGUGAGUGUGGCGCCCCGAGACCACUGUGGCAGGUGCCAACAACUAUUCACUAUGUAAUAGAUAUACCCCACUUUUUGACCGACGAAUGUCUUUCAUCAGCACAUUUUAUCAGUCAUCGGGGUAAAUAUGGCGUUGGGGAAGCACUGUUGCAGAACCAAUGGAGAACACUACACAGUACUCCAGCACAAACUCGUCUGACAACUUCGGUCCGGUUAGCGCGCUCCCUCCAGACAGCCGAGCCAUCGACGUAGGUUCUCCUUGCCUGGCUGUCGAGUGGUUAUCCCCACCAUUUACACACUGCCAUCAUUUCCCCACCCUCGAUGGUAUGCGAGGCCAACCCCAGCGACGAAAAACCCAGAGGGCCCCCUUUCUCCCCACCGCCGAGGAUCAUUCUCAAACCGUACCCCCUGGGUUAUCCCCCCGGACUCGUGGGAUUCUGGGUACUACGUAAAAGGGGAGUCACUCCUACACGCGAUCGUCUCAACACGCCUACAAUGCCCAUCUUCGAAUGGGAAUUAUCGAGAACAGUUGGUCAGCUUCGUGGAUAUUGGCCACCAAGAGCCGUAGAGCGGAUAUCGAAAUCUGUAACCAGAGGGGUUCAGCCGAGUCUUCGUAUGUAAUCCCAGAAGAAGCCCCAUGGUGUAGUGGUACAAUUUGAGUCUCGUGGUGGAUGAAGGAGGCCACGAGAACCAAUCAGAAAUCCCUCGGAUGCCCCUCGCAUAUCCACCAGCCACGCCUGCCAAUAUAGGUUGGACCAAAUUCGUCUUUCAAAAUGGCCUCCAAGCGGUCAUUUCCGUGGGUCCGAAAAUUUCAAUCCUAUGGUUUCAUGGAUUACAUCUGUCACCACUGGGAUUAAUCCGAUCCUUCUGAAUUGUCGAGUGAUUAAUAAAUCUUCAUUGGCGAAAAAAAAAAAAAAAUACUGGGCUUGAGGGUGGUCGUGUGAUACCCGAAAUCCAUUAGUCGUCUAUUCGACUGGAAGUGACGAUGUUUAUAUCGCAGCAUUUGAUGGUGAAUUUGGGGAGGGGGAAUGAGGGAAAAAGGGUUUGAUGCUCCUCGGAAAUCCACGUGAGUUAUAAUAAUCCAUGAAAGCUGCUGGUGGCGAUGUCGAGGAGCGCCGAAGCGGCCGCCCUGUCACAAAGGCAUGCGCCACCCACCACGUCCACUGUGGUGCUGUGAUCGUUAAUCAACUCUUCUGGUUCGGGACCCUGAAAACUUUUGGAGGUAUCUACAGGCCGCUCUUCGAUUGAAUUUGUGGGAACCAAAGUCACGCCAUUAGCCACCAGUACCUCAGCAUCAGGGCGUACGCCAUAGUCGGUAUUCUCUGCAUCAUAUAUGUCAUGUACCAGCCCGAUGAUAAUGAUGAUGACCGCAUCAAAAUAAGAAUACGUGAAAAGUGCCGCUGGUAUACCAGUGACCAAUUGAUUAUCAUUACGCACAAGGAUCCUCAGCACCAACGAAUACCCUCAUCAGAUGAAUGAAACUUACACGACAAGAAGAGAUCCCUUCGAUUGAUUUCCGCUGUCCAGCUGAGAACCUCGACUUUAAAUGGUUAUUAAUCGGUUAAAUCGCAUCAUUCUACCCGCUCCAGUCGGUGCUGAGGAACGAGCCAGGGCUGGCCCAUGGCUCACCGUCUUGGCCAGACACUAGGCCCACCAUGGGCCAGCACUGGCCGGUUUCUCCUGCCCAGGGAAUCCCACCCGGCCGCGGUCGGUUUUUGAACGCGAAACUUUUCGCAUGUGCGGCAACGGACUUAUCCACUUCCCCAAGCCGCCGGGCUAGGGCCAACACUACGAAGUGAGUCACUUUAAUUGCACAACAGGAACGUCCUAACAACCGAAAUAACAGUAUUUCAAGAUUUUCCCAAGUCUCCCCUGAUGAAGAGAAAAGGGAGUGCUUUCACAGUUGACGAGAGUGAUAACUUGCAAUGGCGAAGGGUUAUUUUUCAUCAGAAUGGUUGAUAUAGAUUCCGAGUACAUCCCACACGCUAAAAAACUAACUAACGCUUGAGAAGUGUGGGAAUCUGCAUGAAGCAGACAGUAAAAAACCAAAAAAGCCUGUGCAGUGGAGCAUAAACGAGCGCAUGACGUCAUGCAUCGCGGAAAUGUGACAAUUUAGUGGCUCAUCAGGGCCGAGUAAUUCGAUCCACGAGAGAACACAUCCGAGUGAAUUUUCUGGUAAAGAGUGGGCUCUUCAAUUAAUUACAAUUUUAAUGAUGUUGGGGAAUCGGUAACGAUUAAUGAAGUCAACGAUUUAUUCUGCAUGAUUUGUUGAAGAGUCACGAUACACACAGUGGCUGUACGGUUCAUCUGGCUCACGUGACCAACAGCAUCGAUCAUUCCUCUACACCGCCUAUCUGAUGCUUUAUCGCGUCAUCCUGCCCUCUCCAUCAUUAACAUGCCGAUUCACGACUCCUGUCAAUGCCAGUUAUCUAAUUACAUCAUUUCAAAAACCAAAACAGAUGUUGUAAUGAUGUAAUGGUGGAUUUGUGAGGGUCAGGUGAAUUCAGUAGCUGAUUUUUGGAUGGAAGUGAUACGAGUAUUCGAUGUUGAAGAGCAAGUGCACCGAUAAAAACAGUUUUUUGAAGUACAGGUCUUCUUGGAUGGAGAAAUUUACGGUUCACAUGUGAAUAAGGGAGUAAUAUCUCUCAUUGGGAGGGAGAAAAUUUUCAUUAAGAAAUUUAUUUGUAUUUGAAAUGGAAUUUAUUGAAUAAAUUGGAGUUGGAUCGAUUUAUUGACGUUUUCUUGUCUGAAAUUUGGAGUUAGUAAAGACAAAAGCACUUGACUAGGGUCGACAAGU